CCAAGCUCAGCAUGACGGGAGCGGUGUAAGCAGUGCCUCAGCAGCACACCUGCCCUCGAGUACGUGGCUGAACAUCUCACGCUGUGUGUUUCAUCUCCAGCAUUGCUACUUCCUAAAGUUAGAAGCAAAUAAAAGUCAUGCUUCAUGGAAAAUAAACCUUUAUAAUUCAGGUCUCCAGCACCACCUGGUCUUCCAUCCUCUCCCUAACCUCUUACUGGAUAACAUUUCCCAUGCUGAUUGUAUUAGCGUAGCAUGGAGUGAAGUACAGUCAAAGGCUAAUCUUUUUGCGAUUGAAUAUUAGAUUCGUCAUUUCAAGAGGCUCUUACAAACAGCUUUUUGUCAGACUGAUGGAAGACAGCAGGGACGGAAGAGAACUUGAGGGAAAAGCACGUGUCUCUUCUUCCCAAUGGUUUUAUUCUCUUUUUCUUCAUAGCUUUUACAUUAUGCAAAUGGUAUAAUGUCACAUUCUAAUUUCAAGAAAGAUGUUCACGACUGAGCUUGACCAAAUCUUUCUCAGAAGGCAAAUAAUUGACUGUGUUUAGGACUGACAAGACACCUGAGACGGUCACUAGCAGCUCAGCCCUGGAACAAACAGAAAGGAAAAACUUGGAGCUGCAGGACCUAAAAGGGAGUAAACAUGCAGCUGAAUAAUAGUGAUCCUGUGCCUCUUGUGCCGACUUUAAAAGUACAUAAAAUUACACGUUAAAAGCUAUUUAUUGCUAUUUUUUUUCAGGAUGAAGAUCUAGGGCAAACACUGUUGCUCUUCAGGCAAAGCCUAUCCUUUAUUCCUUAUGCUGAAGGUGGUAACCUUCCAAGGGACUGGUCCUACACUACUGUAUGAGCUAUUGCAGGAGCUGACAACCAGGUUGUGUUUGUGUUUAACAUAGGUUUUAACAUUGACGUUCGGGAGAGAAGGAGGAUGCUGUCCAAAGAGCCUGAGGAGAUGGAGCUGCUUUCCUGGAAGCCUGGAUGAGGAGACUCCAAGGGAGAUGACCACAAUACAUAGAGUACACAACUUGGACUCACCAAGAAGAACGACAGCAUCUCUGUUUUUGUACAAGUGCUUCAUAACCCUGUUGGCAAACACUCAACUGGAAGGAUCUGCAAAUGGCUGCAGUGGAACCCUUGAGCUGGUGACUGGUGGGUCCUCAGUUGCCCACAAGACCAGAGCUCUGUGGUGAGCAGAGGGAUAAGAGCGAAGUG